rnacentral:rRNA from 1 species
GAUGAACGCUGGCGGCGUGCCUAAUACAUGCAAGUCGAGCGAAUGGAUUAAGAGCUUGCUCUUAUGAAGUUAGCGGCGGACGGGUGAGUAACACGUGGGUAACCUGCCCAUAAGACUGGGAUAACUCCGGGAAACCGGGGCUAAUACCGGAUAACAUUUUGAACCGCAUGGUUCGAAAUUGAAAGGCGGCUUCGGCUGUCACUUAUGGAUGGACCCGCGUCGCAUUAGCUAGUUGGUGAGGUAACGGCUCACCAAGGCAACGAUGCGUAGCCGACCUGAGAGGGUGGUCGGCCACACUGGGACUGAGACACGGCCCAGACUCCGACGGGAGGCAGCAGUAGGGAAUCUUCCGCAAUGGACGAAAGUCUGACGGAGCAACGCCGCGUGAGUGAUGAAGGCUUUCGGGUCGUAAAACUCUGUUGUUAGGGAAGAACAAGUGCUAGUUGAAUAAGCUGGCACCUUGACGGUACCUAACCAGAAAGCCACGGCUAACUACGUGCCAGCCGCCGCCGUAA